UCCAGUAUUUUGUAGAUGGAU
rnacentral:piRNA from 1 species